UCCUCCCUGAAACCCUAGCCCCCGUGUCGCUGCGCAGCCUCACCCUCCUCGCGCCGCCUCUCCCCGCCCCACCGAUGCCCUGCAGCGCCGCUCCAUCCUCCGACGCCUGUCCUGGCCCCGACACCGCCGUGCGUCGCCGCAUGUCCUCCACUGCCUUUCUCUCUCUCUCUCCUUGCUGCCGGUGCCGCUGAGCUCGAGCUCGAGCUCAAUGGUGAGAGGCUCAGUACGUCGACAACGAGUCGGUCGAUCCAACAUUCAAUCGGGUUAGGUCUUCGUCCUUCUCACUACCUCGUCGUCGAUUUACCUGUCUACUCAAUACAAGCUCCACGCUGCCUUCCGAUCUGGUGGUAGCUGCCGUGCAGCGAUCGGAUCUGGCGAAGGGAGGAGGAGCGCACGGCGGCGUCGACCUGAAGUAGGUUGCUGGCGGCGUCCCCAGCGUGGUGGUGUAGGCCGAUGGGCCCAGGAGGCGGACGCCUCGAGCUUGCGAGAAGAUGGCGUCGGCACGGAGUUCUCGAAGGCGAGGAGUCGGUCUGGCGGCGCAUGACUUGAUUUUCGAGUGAUGUGGGGGCUCCAUGAGCAGUGGCAAGCUCCUGUUUUUUUCUGGUCAUCAGAGGGAGGAGGAGUUGUCUCCAUCGUCUAGCCGUUCUCUGGAUGCAUCAAGCUUGCCCUCAUCGCAUCACGCCAUCGUCCACUUGUAUUUGAUUUUCAUUUCUAUUCCCCACCAAGAUUUGAGGUGUUUGUUUUGUGUGAUGCCCUGCCUACAAGGUGUUCGUUGUUUUUCCUACAAGCAUGGUGAUGUGGCGAUCUUAAAGCUAUCAGUUACGCCUGCAUGACCUGUAAUGUAACCUCUCAUUUAUUGCACGUUUGGAUGCAACAUUUAGGUGGCAAGGAGAUUAUACAUUGGCGAUAGCAUGGAGCAACAGGCAGAAAUGCCAUUCUUUGUUCAUUUUAUUUUCCUUUUUUUUUUAGUUUGAUUAGAUUAUGGUGCUUAAGGAGCUGGAUUUGCUGUUAAAUCUUAAAUGAUUUAAACAGCGGGCUAUGGGUUCACUAUUGGCUAGAGGUGUUCAGAUCGUUUAAUUCUUACAUGGCAUUUCUUUUGGGUCCUGCAUCUAUAAUCCUGGUUGUCUUUCUGAAUUGAGAUAAUACAAAGCAUGAGCCUAUAUGGCUCUUUCUGAUCACG